UACGGAGGGCGCAAGCGUUGUUCGGAAUUACUGGGCGUAAAGCGCGUGUAGGCGGCUUGGCAAGUCGGCUGUGAAAGCCCGGGGCUCAACCCCGGAGGGUCAGCCGAAACUGCCUCGCUCGAGUCCCGGAGAGGGUGGCGGAAUUUCCGGUGUAGAGGUGAAAUUCGUAGAUAUCGGAAGGAACACCAGUGGCGAAGGCGGCCACCUGGACGGUGACUGACGCUGAGACGCGAAAGCGUGGGGAGCAAACAGG
rnacentral:rRNA from 1 species